ensembl:snRNA U1 U1 spliceosomal RNA
AUACUUACCUGGAAGGGGAGAGACCAUGAUCACAAAGGUGGUUUCCACAGAAUGAGGCUUAUCCACUGCACUGCAGAUGUGUCGACCCUGUGAUUUACCCAAAUGCGGAAAACUCAAUUGCAAAAUUUGUGGUGGUGGUGGGAACUGUAUUUGUGCUUCCUCAUG